CUGUGAGCCGCUGCUGGGAUUGAGGGAAUUUGAGCAUAGUUGCUUGGAUAUGCGUGGUCCCAGAUUUCCAGCCUCUGAGGUAAGUAAGACGUGCCAUCCUGGGAGUGGGUUGGCUUUGACUGUGGGUGGCAAGUUUUCCCUCUCUCAGAGCAUCUUGUAACUGGUGGCCAUUAAGUUCUACAUCUUGGGGUUGACCUAGAUACCAGUUUCUAUCUGGAUUAUCUGGGGUCUCUCUCACAGGCACAUGCUGCAUGCCUAUGAACUAAGCCCUUACACCCCAAAUUCCUCCCCCUGUUAACUGUGCCCCUUAGGCACACAGGAGCUUUCUUGGCCUCCACCCACUACAGCCACAGGGCCCUACUGCUUUAAGAUUCAUCAGACAGUUGCUGGCCCCAGGAAACAUUCCCUGCCCCUCUUCCAGGCUUGUCUGCCUGACAUGCACACAGUCAAACAGUGUCCGUGUGCUCUCGAUGGCCACCGGUCAUGUGACCACACUCCUGCCAAUCACAUCUAGCCUCUACUCUCCUCGGAUGUUCUUCGUACAGAGGACAGCAGCAUCUCUGACCCACCCUAGGCUGGGCACAGCCACGCCCUUCCUAUGUUGUCCUGCUUGCCAACAUCUUCUGUGGGUCUGGUUUCAUGUGCCCAUAGGAUCUCAAGCAGAGCUCGGGACCCAGAGCAAGCUGAAUUCACGCAUCUGCAACUACCAAGCCCAUACGCUCCAGCGUGGCCUGGAGCGGUCUACGCACACUUCACUCUACAGUCUCUAUGAAGAGAAAUUUGACAAGUAUCAUUACCAAACUUCAACAAGGUACCCUGUGCUGGGCCACCAGAGCCCCCUUGUGUGAGCUCCUGGGAGCCACACAGCUUGUGGAGUCAUAAGGUUCCUGUUCCCCAGGCCUGGGGUGCGGAUAGACUCACCUGGCUCAGGUCCUGUGAGGAGACUCAAGGAGCCUGUGUACCUCUUGGAGCUUUGUGGUCACUCAGUGUGUGAGCCGAUCAGGCUAUUCCAACUGUCUUAAUAACUUCCUCAGUUCACUCCGGUUGCCCAGAGUUCUGAGCAUGAGCAUCGGACCUUCUCGGAAGCCUGUGGAUGCAGUAGGAGCCCCCGUGGAUGCCUAUGGGCAACUGUAGGCAGCAUGCAGACCUCCUACCCCUCUGCCCUCCUGGCUCUAGCCUCAGCUUUAUAAAUCUGUUUCCUACCCCAGCAGGGCAGCUUCUCUGUCCUCCUGCGUGUUUCUGCCCCCCCCCACGCUCCUUCCAAGGAGCCUUUCCUAGCUGUGAGUUGAUGCCACAACCCCGUGGAAGCCUCUCUGUGCUCCGUGUGGGUUCUGACACCCAAGCCAUCUCAUGUGGUCCCCUCCCACACUGCCUCGGUUCUUCUGAGCUGAUGCCAGAACACUCCAGAGUCUUUGCUGCACGACCACACCUCACACUGGAGCCCCAGGAUGGCUUGUGGGGCCUUAUGCUGCCUUCGUCAGGGCACUCUGCCCAGCUGCAGUGUGUAGACACGACUGAGCCCAUUUUCCAUGUCCCUCAGGUACUUGGAUGAGCUAUAGAGCCCGACCCAGGAUGGAACAGAAUCUUCCCUUCCGUGGCCAACACAAACAGGGGGCCCAUAAACCUUCCUAAUUUAGGCAGGCAGGCAGGCAGGCAGGCAAGGUCAGGACGGGAGACUAAACAAUCAUCUCAGGACACACCCAGGCUGCUCAGUCCUCAGGAAUGCCUACGACAUCGACAUCGGGACUUCUACAGAGAACAGCAGACCUCUUUGAGCACAGGCAGCCUUGGGUCAAUCCAGUUCCUCAUCAGCUAUGGACAGCAGGGCCUUGCUGGACUGCUCCAUGGUCGGGGGUGUGGCAGCGAUGCUGGGUACCUGCUCUGCUCUGAGCAUUCUCUGGCAGAGAGCACUCCUCUGCCUCAGUUUCCUUGUAGGAGAAGUGGAGGUCUCAAACUCCAAUGGGCAAACCAGUAGGCAGCCUUCCCCCAUGACUCCUCCCUUGAGUUUCUGCCCCGGCUUCCCCCUGAGCAGUAGGUGUAAGCAGAAAUAAACCCCUCUCUCCCCAAA